rnacentral:rRNA from 1 species
GACGAACGCUGGCGGCGUGCUUAACACAUGCAAGUCGAACGGAAAGGCCUUUUCGGAGGUACUCGAGUGGCGAACGGGUGAGUAACACGUGGGUGGUCUGCCCUGCACUCUGGGAUAAGCCUGGGAAACUGGGUCUAAUACCGGAUAGGACCGCACUUUAGUGUGUGUGGUGGAAAGUUUUUUCGGUGUAGGAUGAGCCCGCGGCCUAUCAGCUUGUUGGUGGGGUAAUGGCCUACCAAGGCGGCGACGGGUAGCCGGACUGAGAGGUUGGUCGGCCACAUUGGGACUGAGAUACGGCCCAGACUCCUACGGGAGGCAGCAGUGGGGAAUAUUGCACAAUGGGCGCAAGCCUGAUGCAGCGACGCCGCGUGGGGGAUGACGGCCUUCGGGUUGUAAACUCCUUUCGCCAGGGACGAAGCGUUUUGUGACGGUACCUGGAGAAGAAGCACCGGCUAACUACGUG